rnacentral:lncRNA from 1 species
GACUUAGAUACGACAUUCAAAGCACAAGCAACAAAAGGAAGAAAUGGACAAAUUGGACUCAUAAAAAUUAAAAAUUUUUGUACCACAGGUGGUGUCAUUAAGGAAGUGGAAAGACAAUCCAUAGAAUGGGAAAAAUAUUUGCAAAUAAUAUAUCUGAUAAGGGACUCGUAUACAGAAAAUAUAAAAACUGUACAACUCAAUAAUAAAAAGACAAAUAGUGCAAUCUUACAAAAGGGCAAACGAUCUGAAUAGACAUUUCUCCAAAGAAGAUAAACAAAUGGCCAGUAAGCACAUGGAAAGAUGCUCAGUUUUGUUAGUCAUUAAAGAAAUACAAAGCAAAAUCACAGUAACAAACCACUACGUACCCACGAGAUGUCUAGAGCCAAAAAGAUAGACAAUAGUAAGUGUUGAUGAAGAUGUGGAGAAAUUGCAACCUUCAUGCAUUGCUGUAGCUACUUUGGAAAACAGUGUGGCAAUUCCAAGUUAAAUGGAGUUACCAUGUGACCCAGGAAUUCCACUCCUAGGUAUAUAUCUGAGAAAUGAAAACAUAUGUCCUCAUGAAAACUCGUCCAUGAAUGUUCAUAGCAGCAUUAUUUAUAGUAGCUGCAAAGCAGAACAACCCAAGCACCCAUCAUCUGAUGAAUGGAUAAACAAAGUGUGGUUUAUUCAUACAAUGGAAUAUUAUUUGGCAAUAAAAAAUAACAGAAAACUGAUAUAAGCAACAAUACUACGACAUUAAUGAAUGUUGAAAAAGUUAUUCGGAGUGAAAGAAGACAUUACAAAAUACCACAUACUGAAUGACUUCACUCAUACAAAGUGUCCAGGAUAGACAAACCUGUGGAGAUGGAAAGCAGAUUCCUUGUAGGGCUGGGGGUGACAGGUGGGAGUGACUGGGAGUAACUGCUCAUGGGUACUGGGCUUCUUUGUCAGGUUAUGGAAAUGUUCUAAACUCAGGCUAUGGUUAUGGUUAUACAAUACUAUACUAAGAACAUUGUUUUGAGUGAAUCAUAUGGCUGAUAAAUUUUAUCUCAAUAAAGCUGGUUUUAUUUUUAUUUUCUUAAAGUCA